GAUGAAGAACGCAGCGAAAUGCGAUAAGUAAUGUGAAUUGCAGAAUUCAGUGAAUCAUCGAAUCUUUGAACGCACAUUGCGCCCCCUGGUAUUCCGGGGGGCAUGCCUGUCCGAGCGUCAUUACAACCCUCAAGCUCAGCUUGGUGUUGGGCCCCGCCGCCCCGGCGGGCCCUAAAGUCAGUGGCGGUGCCGUCCGGCUCCGAGCGUAGUAAUUCUUCUCGCUCUGGAGGUCCGGUCGUGUGCUCGCCAGCAACCCCCAAUUUUUUUCAGGUUGACCUCGGAUCAGGUAGGGAUACCCGCUGAACUUAAGCAUAUCAAUAAGCA
rnacentral:misc_RNA from 1 species